rnacentral:sRNA from 1 species
UUACAUCUUCUCCUUCCUCAAAUU